rnacentral:rRNA from 1 species
AACGAACGCUGGCGGCAUGCCUAACACAUGCAAGUCGAACGAGACCUUCGGGUCUAGUGGCGCACGGGUGCGUAACGCGUGGGAACCUGCCCGUAGGUUCGGAAUAACUCCCCGAAAGGGGUGCUAAUACCGGAUAAUGUCUUCGGACCAAAGAUUUAUCGCCUUUGGAUGGGCCCGCGUUGGAUUAGCUAGUUGGUAGGGUAAAAGCCUACCAAGGCGACGAUCCAUAGCUGGUCUGAGAGGAUGGUCAGCCACACUGGGACUGAGACACGGCCCAGACUCCUACGGGAGGCAGCAGUGGGGAAUAUUGGACCAUGGGCGAAAGCCUGAUCCAGCCAUGCCGCGUGAGUGCUGAAGGCCUUAGGGUUGUAAAGCUCUUUUACCCGGGAUGAUAAUGACAGUACCGGGAGAAUAAGCUCCGGCUAACUCCGUG